rnacentral:lncRNA from 1 species
GAGGGUAGUUUUCAUAGAAAAGAGAUUGGAAUCAGAUGUCAUAUGAUUCCAUAUGAUUGCAACAAGCUGAAUCUAUAAACCAGGAGUAUUUACCUGAGGUGAUAGAUAGGGCGCGAGUCAAAACCUGGUGGAUUAAAGUCUCAAUUUCAGUUGCAGUAAAAACAGUGGUCUAAGAAGAAGACUUAGGAGCAGAUGAGAUAAUUGAAGCAACCACAGCAACCUGCCAGAGAGUACCUCGAGACUCGCGAGCCUUUUUCCACGCAACUUCAGGCAAUCUUAGACGACAUGACCAUCUUCUUUGUAGUAUUUACAGAAGAGCUUUUUGAAAGAUAAAUGGAGCUUUGGUGCAGAAUGAUUAAAGAAGGCUUGCAAGCAGCAGCCCUGACAAUCUCAGCAGACUGCAACUUCAUUGUAGAGCAGUGAUUCUCUUCAGAGAUUAGUUCUGCA